CUUGUUGGUGAGGUAAAAGCUCACCAAGGCGACGAUCUGUAGCGGGUCUGAGAGGAUGAUCCGCCACACUGGAACUGAGACACGGUCCAGACUCCUACGGGAGGCAGCAGUGGGGAAUUUUGGACAAUGGGGCAACCCUGAUCCAGCCAUGCCGCGUGAGUGAGGAAGGCCUUCGGGUUGUAAAGCUCUUUCAGCCGGGAAGAAAACGCAUGGGUUAAUACCCUGUGUGGAUGACGGUACCGGAAUAAGAAGCACCGGCUAACUACGUGCCAGCAGCCGCGGUAAUACGUAGGGUGCGAGCGUUAAUCGGAAUUACUGGGCGUAAAGCGUGCGCAGGCGGUUUUGUAAGACAGGCGUGAAAUCCCCGGGCUAACCUGGGAACUGCGUUUGUGACUGCAAGGCUAGAGUACGGCAGAGGGGGGUGGAAUUCCACGUGUAGCAGUGAAAUGCGUAGAGAUGUGGAGGAACACCAAUGGCGAAGGCAGCCCCCUGGGUCGAUACUGACGCUCAUGCACGAAAGCGUGGGUAGCAAACAGGAUUAGAUACCCUGGUAGUCCACGCCCUAAACGAUGUCAACUAGGUGUUGGGAGGGUAAAACCUUUUAGUACCGGAGCUAACGCGUGAAGUUGACCGCCUGGGGAGUACGGCCGCAAGGUUAAAACUCAAAGGAAUUGACGGGGACCCGCACAAGCGGUGGAUGAUGUGGAUUAAUUCGAUGCAACGCGAAAAACCUUACCUACCCUUGACAUGCCAAGAACUUUCCAGAGAUGGAUUGGUGCCCGAAAGGGGACUUGGACACAGGUGCUGCAUGGCUGUCGUCAGCUCGUGUCGUGAGAUGUUGGGUUAAGUCCCGCAACGAGCGCAACCCUUGUCGUUAAUUGCCAUCAUUUAGUUGGGCACUUUAACGAGACUGCCGGUGACAAACCGGAGGAAGGUGGGGAUGACGUCAAGUCCUCAUGGCCCUUAUGGGUAGGGCUUCACACGUCAUACAAUGGUCGGUACAAAGGGUCGCCAAGCCGCGAGGUGGAGCCAAUCCCAGAAAGCCGAUCGUAGUCCGGAUCGCAGUCUGCAACUCGACUGCGUGAAGUCGGAAUCGCUAGUAAUCGUGGAUCAGAAUGUCACGGUGAAUACGUUCCCGGGUCUUGUACACACCGCCCGUCACACCAUGGGAGCGGGUUCCGCCAGAAGUAGGUAGCCUAACCGCAAGGAGGGCGCUUACCACGGCGGGGUUCGUGACUGGGGUGAAGUCGAACAAGGUA
rnacentral:rRNA from 1 species